rnacentral:rRNA from 1 species
AAUCUUUCACAAUGGGCGCAAGCCUGACGGAGCAACGCCGCGUGUGUGAUGAAGGGUUUCGGCUCGUAAAACACUGUUAUAAGAGAAGAACGGCACUGAGAGUAACUGUUCAGUGUGUGACGGUAUCUUACCCGAAAGGAACGGCGAAAUACGUGCCAGCAGCCGCGGUAAUACGUAUGUUCCAGGCGUUAUCCGGAUUUAUUGGGCGUAAAGCGAGCGCAGACGGUUAUUUGAGUCUGAAGUGAAAGCCCUCAGCUCAACUGAGGAAUGGCUUUGGAAACUGGAUGACUUGAGUGCAGUAGAGGAAAGUGGAACUCCAUGUGUAGCGGUGAAAUGCGUAGAUAUAUGGAAGAACACCAGUGGCGAAGGCGGCUUUCUGGACUGUAACUGACGUUGAGGCUCGAAAGUGUGGGUAGCAAAC